AUAAUAAACUUUUAUUAUUAUUAUUAUUAUUAUUAUUUUCUUUUUGGCUCCUAAAAGACAAGCACAACCUAUAAUGUCCCUCACGUGGUUCUCUUUAUGUUCCUACUUGAUUUUGAUUCUUGAUGCAUUGUGUGUAAGCCUUUUAGCUCAAUUUUGUUAACAAGAGCAUCCAUAGUGAGGGACAAAAAGGCAUAUCUACGAGUUAGUUAUUAGAUAUACAAAAGUAGAAAAUUUAAAGCUAAGGCACUGAGUUUUCUUCUUUCUUUAUUAAUAGGUGAUGCUUCAAUUCUUCCUUAUGUCUCUGUAUCCUUAUUUAUCUUAAAUGUUCUCUCCUUUAUUAAUUAUUUAGUAGUUCUGUGAAGACAGCUUACCUCUCCAAAUUUAUGUGAAGACAGAAAGUUAUGAGAAGACAGCUUACCUCUCCAAAUUUUCUGGAUAUGAAUUGUAGCUGAACUAUAUAUAUAUAGUAACACCAUCCCAUCCACUUUACACUACCCAAUCCUCAUUCAUCUUUCUUCACUUCACUCAAACUCAUACCAUAGCCACAACUAAUUACUUUCAGAAUGGCAAAAUCUUCCUUUUUACUUCCAUGCUUGAUUCUCUUAUUCCUCGUAGCCUCUGAAACUGAGUAUGGGCAGCACCUCUUAGUCUAUGAGUUUCAUAGAAAUGGAUCACUGCAUGACUUCCUUAACCCAACUUUUUGAGUUUCCAUGAGCUUCAGAUAAUGUGUAUGUCAACUUGUCACAGGAUAAUCUUGAAAGAGCAAAUGGACAGAUAUUCAAUGUGGGAAACCCAGACAAUGAAGUAUCCGUGAAGGAACUAGUUGAGCUUAUGAUACAGGUUGCCACAAUUGCUUGGUUGGAAGCUGAUUCUGUGUGUGGCAGUCACUCUGUUGCAAUCCCUUUAGUGCUUGUAUUGCCUUAUCUUUUCCGUCUAAACCAAUGUCUCCGUCAGUACAAAGAUACCGGGGAGAAAACUUGUCUUUUGAAUGAUUGGAAGAUUAGGUGGUGGAGGAUCAGAUUAUAAACCUUUUGUGCAGCAUGUAGGAAUUCCAUCAAUUGAUAUAGCCUUUGGAGGAGAAUUUCUUGUGCCAAAAAAGGAAGCAUCAGUGAGAAUUUCCUUGUGCCAGAAUUUCUUGUAUAUCAAGAAUGUUGUUGUAUCAUCAAACUUAACUCCUUGAGGCACCAAAUUUAAGAGAACAGGAUUUUCUCUAGUUGAUGAUUUGCUGCAUUAGCUCCAACAAUGCGAACCUGGUUGCGACUCAACAAAAGACUGGCUGUAAUUUUCUCAGCUAGCUUGAAAACUAAAGGGAAGAACUUGUAUAUUGCAAUGCUGAUGUGGAGUUUAACUUGAAGUGGCCACACAACCACAAGGAGAUCCAGGAGGUGUAUUUGUCAAUGGCUCUGAGCAAGUCACCAUCAUGCAAUCUAAAAGGAAUAGGAUCAAUAUAAAAUCUUGUUUGUUUAAAUUGUUGAAAAUGAAGGAACUAGUAGUGUCAAUGAGUAAUGUAAAUAGUUAUAGUUCUGUCAAUGGUUUAUUUUUUUGGGUAUCUUUUUAUUGAGAUAGUGAGAUAUCGGCCAAUGAUGUUGAAAAAUAACAUCCAAUUUUAUAGGUAUCAUAUAAUGAAUAUUAUGUUUAUC